rnacentral:rRNA from 1 species
GAUUAAGUUAUUAAGGGCGCACGGUGGAUGCCUUGGCACUAGAAGCCGAUGAAGGACGUUACUAACGACGAUAUGCUUUGGGGAGCUGUAAGUAAGCUUUGAUCCAGAGAUUUCCGAAUGGGGAAACCCAACAUGAGUUAUGUCAUGUUAUCGAUAUGUGAAUACAUAGCAUAUCAGAAGGCACACCCGGAGAACUGAAACAUCUUAGUACCCGGAGGAAGAGAAAGAAAAUUCGAUUCCCUUAGUAGCGGCGAGCGAAACGGGAAGAGCCCAAACCAACAAGCUUGCUUGUUGGGGUUGUAGGACACUCUAUACGGAGUUACAAAGGACGACAUUAGACGAAUCAUCUGGAAAGAUGAAUCAAAGAAGGUAAUAAUCCUGUAGUCGAAAAUGUUGUCUCUCUUGAGUGGAUCCUGAGUACGACGGAGCACGUGAAAUUCCGUCGGAAUCUGGGAGGACCAUCUCCUAAGGCUAAAUACUCUCUAGUGACCGAUAGUGAACCAGUACCGUGAGGGAAAGGUGAAAAGCACCCCGGAAGGGGAGUGAAAUAGAACCUGAAACCGUGUGCUUACAAGUAGUCAGAGCCCGUUAAUGGGUGAUGGCGUGCCUUUUGUAGAAUGAACCGGCGAGUUACGAUUUGAUGCAAGGUUAAGCAGUAAAUGUGGAGCCGUAGCGAAAGCGAGUCUGAAUAGGGCGUUUAGUAUUUGGUCGUAGACCCGAAACCAGGUGAUCUACCCUUGGUCAGGUUGAAGUUCAGGUAACACUGAAUGGAGGACCGAACCGACUUACGUUGAAAAGUGAGCGGAUGAACUGAGGGUAGCGGAGAAAUUCCAAUCGAACCUGGAGAUAGCUGGUUCUCUCCGAAAUAGCUUUAGGGCUAGCCUCAAGUGAUGAUUAUUGGAGGUAGAGCACUGUUUGGACGAGGGGCCCCUCUCGGGUUACCGAAUUCAGACAAACUCCGAAUGCCAAUUAAUUUAACUUGGGAGUCAGAACAUGGGUGAUAAGGUCCGUGUUCGAAAGGGAAACAGCCCAGACCACCAGCUAAGGUCCCAAAAUAUAUGUUAAGUGGAAAAGGAUGUGGCGUUGCCCAGACAACUAGGAUGUUGGCUUAGAAGCAGCCAUCAUUUAAAGAGUGCGUAAUAGCUCACUAGUCGAGUGACACUGCGCCGAAAAUGUACCGGGGCUAAACAUAUUACCGAAGCUGUGGAUUGUCCUUUGGACAAUGGUAGGAGAGCGUUCUAAGGGCGUUGAAGCAUGAUCGUAAGGACAUGUGGAGCGCUUAGAAGUGAGAAUGCCGGUGUGAGUAGCGAAAGACGGGUGAGAAUCCCGUCCACCGAUUGACUAAGGUUUCCAGAGGAAGGCUCGUCCGCUCUGGGUUAGUCGGGUCCUAAGCUGAGGCCGACAGGCGUAGGCGAUGGAUAACAGGUUGAUAUUCCUGUACCACCUAUAAUCGUUUUAAUCGAUGGGGGGACGCAGUAGGAUAGGCGAAGCGUGCGAUUGGAUUGCACGUCUAAGCAGUAAGGCUGAGUAUUAGGCAAAUCCGGUACUCAUUAAGGCUGAGCUGUGAUGGGGAGAAGACAUUGUGUCUUCGAGUCGUUGAUUUCACACUGCCGAGAAAAGCCUCUAGAUAGAAAAUAGGUGCCCGUACCGCAAACCGACACAGGUAGUCAAGAUGAGAAUUCUAAGGUGAGCGAGCGAACUCUCGUUAAGGAACUCGGCAAAAUGACCCCGUAACUUCGGGAGAAGGGGUGCUCUUUAGGGUUAACGCCCAGAAGAGCCGCAGUGAAUAGGCCCAAGCGACUGUUUAUCAAAAACACAGGUCUCUGCUAAACCGUAAGGUGAUGUAUAGGGGCUGACGCCUGCCCGGUGCUGGAAGGUUAAGAGGAGUGUUAGCUUCUGCGAAGCUACGAAUCGAAGCCCCAGUAAACGGCGGCCGUAACUAUAACGGUCCUAAGGUAGCGAAAUUCCUUGUCGGGUAAGUUCCGACCCGCACGAAAGGCGUAACGAUUUGGGCACUGUCUCAACGAGAGACUCGGUGAAAUCAUAGUACCUGUGAAGAUGCAGGUUACCCGCGACAGGACGGAAAGACCCCGUGGAGCUUUACUGUAGCCUGAUAUUGAAAUUCGGCACAGCUUGUACAGGAUAGGUAGGAGCCUUUGAAACGUGAGCGCUAGCUUACGUGGAGGCGCUGGUGGGAUACUACCCUAGCUGUGUUGGCUUUCUAACCCGCACCACUUAUCGUGGUGGGAGACAGUGUCAGGCGGGCAGUUUGACUGGGGCGGUCGCCUCCUAAAAGGUAACGGAGGCGCUCAAAGGUUCCCUCAGAAUGGUUGGAAAUCAUUCAUAGAGUGUAAAGGCAUAAGGGAGCUUGACUGCGAGACCUACAAGUCGAGCAGGGUCGAAAGACGGACUUAGUGAUCCGGUGGUUCCGCAUGGAAGGGCCAUCGCUCAACGGAUAAAAGCUACCCCGGGGAUAACAGGCUUAUCUCCCCCAAGAGUUCACAUCGACGGGGAGGUUUGGCACCUCGAUGUCGGCUCAUCGCAUCCUGGGGCUGUAGUCGGUCCCAAGGGUUGGGCUGUUCGCCCAUUAAAGCGGUACGCGAGCUGGGUUCAGAACGUCGUGAGACAGUUCGGUCCCUAUCCGUCGUGGGCGUAGGAAAUUUGAGAGGAGCUGUCCUUAGUACGAGAGGACCGGGAUGGACAUACCUCUGGUGUACCAGUUGUCGUGCCAACGGCAUAGCUGGGUAGCUAUGUGUGGACGGGAUAAGUGCUGAAAGCAUCUAAGCAUGAAGCCCCCCUCAAGAUGAGAUUUCCCAACUUCGGUUAUAAGAUCCCUCAAAGAUGAUGAGGUUAAUAGGUUCGAGGUGGAAGCAUGGUGACAUGUGGAGCUGACGAAUACUAAUCGAUCGAAGACUUAAUCAA